UGACAGGAAAGCCCUAGAGUGUUAUGUCGCCCGAUGCCGAAGGCAGACGGCGACAUAACACUUCAGGGCUUUCCUGUCAC
rnacentral:pre_miRNA from 1 species